rnacentral:rRNA from 1 species
UACAUAGGGUGCAAGCGUUGUCCGGAAUUAUUGGGCGUAAAGAGCUCGUAGGUCGUUUGUUACGUCGGAUGUGAAAACCUGAGGCUCAACCUCAGGCCUGCAUUCGAUACGGGCAAACUAGAGUUUGGUAGGGGAGACUGGAAUUCCUGGUGUAGCGGUGGAAUGCGCAGAUAUCAGGAGGAACACCAAUGGCGAAGGCAGGUCUCUGGGCCAAUACUGACACUGAGGAGCGAAAGUCUGGGGAGCGAACAGGAUUAGAUACCCUGGUAGUCCAGACCGUAAACGGUGGGCACUAGUUGUGGGAACCUUCCACGGUUUCUGCGACGCAGCUAACGCAUUAAGUGCCCCGCCUGGGGAGUACGAUCGCAAGAUUAAAACUCAAAGGAAUUGACGGGGCCCCGCACAAGCAGCGGAGCAUGCGGCUUAAUUCGACGCAACGCGAAGAACCUUACCAAGGCUUGACAUAUAGGGAAAAGUGGCAGAGAUGUCAUGUCCGCAAGGGCUCUAUACAGGUGGUGCAUGGUUGUCGUCAGCUCGUGUCGUGAGAUGUUGGGUUAAGUCCCGCAACGAGCGCAACCCUCGUUCUGUGUUGCCAGCAUUUAGUUGGGGACUCACAGGAGACUGCCGGGGUUAACUCGGAGGAAG